AUCCCAGAUAAACAAUAAAAAGUGUUUAGCUGAUUCAUGGAAGGUGGACAUCGACAUUGGGAGUUCGCUGAUGACACCUUUUUGUUUAUAGGAGGUGUUCUAAUAGUUCCUCAUCAAACACAU